UGACGACGAAGCUCUGCACCGAAAUGUUUUAGGUUUUUCAUAUUCAUCACAUUUCAGCUCGAUUAUCAGGAGUUGGCUAACAAUUUUAAUUUUUAUUUGAGAUCUAAUUAGUUAGAUCAUUGAAUUUCUCCACAACAUUUACCAUAUCUCAGGGUGGUAACAGAAGUGACCAAACUCGCCUGGGAGUUGGAUUUUCUACAUGUAGAAUCAUGGCCAUAUACUAGCAGUUUAGAUUGUAACCAUACGCCGUGCAUACUACUUUCCAGUACACAAGUACUGAAGUAAAGCGUUAUCGACUGCAGGAAGGCAUGGUUUUCUACAACAAGCAUGAAUACCGCGUCGUACCUACGGAUUUGGGCUCUUAGUUUUAGCUCACUUAGAGUUGUUAACUAUCUUCUACCAGAAAUUACUUCUUCUUGUUUGGGGAUCGGGCUGUGCAGAAGAUGGAUAGCGUUAGCCACGUUUUGGCACAUUUGUUUGUAUUGCCUCAUGGAUAUAUUGCAUGUUAUGUGGUAUGGAUGUUGGAUUUUCUUGAAUUUUACAACGCUGUACAUGGUUGUACACAACAAUAUAAAUUAGAAUUUAUAAAAAAUGAAAAUUAUAUAGUCAUAUGGGUGUUUUUUUUGUAGAUUUCGGAAAGAGCUUUCCGAAUAUAUAAAGUUUGUGA